GCGAGCAUAAGAAAGCGAAAGAAACGUGUUUUGGGCGAAAGAAAGUUUCGAGAGCAAGUGUGUGAGAAAGCGUGAGCAAGAGCGAGGAGGGAUCCCGGCCGAGAGAUAAGCGGGUGCGAGGGAUUGCGGCUGGACCUCGAGAGGCCGAACAGCGAGAAGUGGCCGAGCGCCCGGAUCCCCGAGGAAAGAGCUUCGUUGCCGGUGAAUUACUUUUAAAGUGUGGGCGGAUUUACCGUAAAAGAAUUUAUUAAUCUUUCUUUCAAAGAAGGUAUUAAAGAUAAUGCUACAGCGUCAUUCACAUGGCUUGAUCGAGAAGAAAAUCUACAACCUCUACAUAAUAAGCGCAUAAUAAUGGCAGUAUAUGAUGCUGUUUGCAACAAUCAUUAUUUUAAUAAACCAACUAAGGCAGAUUUUCAAGUUAAUAUGAAAGAAGCAUUACGUUCAGCGAUAUCGAAUGAGCAUCCGCAAAUCAAACGAACGGGAACAACGUGCACCCAUUUUUCGGAAUCAAGCAGAGAGCAAAAAUCCAAAAUGAAUCCGCUUAAUAUAAUGUUAGAACUAAAAAUUAACAAUAAAGGUAAUAAAAUAGACUGCAUUGUUGAAUUUUUCUUGGAAUAAACGGAUUAUCUUUUUAAAAAUAUAGAAUGUGUAGAGAAAGCAAAAAUUGUGAUAU